rnacentral:rRNA from 1 species
GACGAACGCUGGCGGCGUGCUUAACACAUGCAAGUCGAACGGAAAGGCCCUGCUUUUGUGGGGUGCUCGAGUGGCGAACGGGUGAGUAACACAUGAGUAACCUGCCCUUGACUUUGGGAUAACUUCAGGAAACUGGGGCUAAUACCGGAUAGGAGCUCCUGCUGCAUGGUGGGGGUUGGAAAGUUUCGGCGGUUGGGGAUGGACUCGCGGCUUAUCAGCUUGUUGGUGGGGUAGUGGCUUACCAAGGCUUUGACGGGUAGCCGGCCUGAGAGGGUGACCGGCCACAUUGGGACUGAGAUACGGACCAGACUCCUACGGGAGGCAGCAGGGGGGAAUAUUGAACAAUGGGCGGAAGCCUGAUGCAGCAACGCCGCGUGCGGGAUGACGGCCUUCGGGUGGUAAACCGCUUUCGCCUGUGACGAAGCGUGAGUGACGGUAAUGGGUAAAGAAGCACCGGCUAACUACGUG